CGGGUGAGUAACACGUAGGUGACCUGCCUCAGAGUGGGGGAUAACGACCCGAAAGGGUCGCUAAUACCGCAUAACAUCCUGCUUUUAGACAAGUGGAGAUCAAAGCCGGGGAUCGCAAGACCUGGCGCUCAGAGAGGGGCCUGCGGCCGAUUAGCUAGUUGGUAGGGUAACGGCCUACCAAGGCAACGAUCGGUAUCCGGCCUGAGAGGGCGGACGGACACACUGGGACUGAGACACGGCCCAGACUCCUACGGGAGGCAGCAGUGGGGAAUUGUUCGCAAUGGGCGCAAGCCUGACGACGCAACGCCGCGUGGAGGACGAAGAUCUUCGGGUCGUAAACUCCUUUCGAUCGGGAAGAACGUCUGCGGAAUGAAUACUUCCGCAGAGUGACGGUACCGAGAGAAGAAGCCCCGGCUAACUCUGUGCCAGCAGCCGCGGUAAUACAGGGGGGGCAAGCGUUGUUCGGAAUUACUGGGCGUAAAGGGCUCGUAGGCGGCCAACUAAGUCACACGUGAAAUCCCCAGGCUUAACCUGGGAACUGCGUGUGAUACUGGAUGGCUUGAAUCCGGGAGAGGGAUGCGGAAUUCCAGGUGUAGCGGUGAAAUGCGUAGAUAUCUGGAGGAAC
rnacentral:rRNA from 1 species